CCUUUUGAUUUUAAUUUAAGGUCUGAUCUGCCCACUGAGGAAUUAAAUGGCCGCGGUAUUUUGACCGUGCAAAGGUAGCAUAAUCAUUAGUUUUUUAAUUGAAAGCUGGAAUGAAAGAUUUGAUGAGAAAAUGACUGUCUCAAUUUAAUUUAUUUAGAAUUUUAUUUUUAAGUUAAAAAGCUUAAAUAUUUUUAAAAGACGAGAAGACCCUAUAGAGUUUUAUAUUUAAAUUUAAAAGUUAAUUGUUUUAAAUAUUUUAUAUUUAAAUAAAUAUUUUAUUGGGGUGAUAAAAAAAUUAAAUUAACUUUUUUUAUAUAAUAAUACUAAUAAGUAAUUUUUUGAUCCAAUUUUUUUGAUUAUAAGAUAAAAUUACCUUAGGGAUAACAGCGUAAUUUUUUUUAAGAGUUCUUAUCGAAAAAAAAGAUUGCGACCUCGAUGUUGGAUUAAAAUUAAGUUUUGGUGUAGAAGCUAGAAUUUUAGGUCUGUUCGACCUUUAAAACUUU
rnacentral:rRNA from 1 species